UUUUUUUUUUUUUUUUUUUUUUUUUUGUCGUCUGUUUAGGGCCACACCUCUGGCAUAUGGAGGUUCCGAGGCUAGGGGUCAAAUUGGAGCUGCAGCCACCGGCCUACACCACAUAUACAGCAACUCGGGAUCCGAGCCGCAUCUGCGACCUACACCACAGCUCACGGCAACGCUGGAUCCUUAACCCACUGAGCAAAGCCAGGGGUCAGACUCGAAUGCUCAUGGAUACCCAUCAGGUUCUUAACCCGCUGAGCCACAACAGAAACUCCUCAAGGGAGAUUUUAAAAACCCUGUGCGGGGCCAGAGAAGGGAAGCCUUCCAGCCCCAUUGCUGUGCCGUCUGCAGACCUCGGCUAUCCUGUCCCCGCCGUCUCCUUCCAAGACCAUGAGGGGCUGCAUCUUACCAGUCUUUGUGUCCCCAGCUCUGACCAGUGCCUGGCACUUAGGUAUCCACUGGCUGGGGCUGAGCCGUCUGAUCAGGAUAUUUGUAUCUGAAUAUAACCUUAUUUUGGAAGGUCCUGGCAUACGUUUGAACUGAACUUGAGUUUUUCAAAAUAAGUCUUAAUUAAAAAAAAAAAGAAAAACUAUUCUCUAUUCAAACUAAAGCAAUUUUAAUAGAACGUCCCUUUCCAGAAACAAUAAUAAAGGAAACAAGGCAUUUUGUAAACUUGGUCCUGAACAAGUCACAGUAAAAAAUAAGUGUACACUUAACUUCCACCACCUCCAAACAGAGGCUGCUUUCUGUUCCUCAGCCUUGGAAGCAAGGUGGACAACAGUCCGUAAGCACCUUGGGGCAGGGGUGCCAAAACCAAGCUCAAGCAGUUGAACAUGGACACCUUUUCAAAGAACUUGGGGGAACCUGACCAAAGGAUCCAAAUCCUAUUUUCAAUAGCCGUGCAAAGGUGCAGUGGCUCCUCCCAAGUAGCGGGGCCUCCGGGGCCAGGCCCAGCCCGGCGCUCCCCUUGUUGUGCUCCCCUUGUUACACCCCCACGCAAACCCUGCUCCUGCUGCAGGACACUUUUUCUUCUUAGAGCUUCAGUGUCCCGGGAACUCCUCGUGUGAAUGAGGUGAGCACAGACUCCACCUGGGGUUUUUUUGUUUUUUGUUUUUGUCUUUUUAGGGCCACACCUACAGCCUAUGGACGCUCCCAGGCUAGGGAUCCAUUCGGAGCUACCGCUGCCGGCCUGCACCACAGCCACAGCAGUGGAGGAUCCGAUCCACAUCGGCGACCCACACCACAGCUCACGGCAACACCAGAUCCUCAACCCACUGAGCGAGGCCAGGGAACAAACCUGUGGCCUCAUGGUCACUAGUCUGAUUCGUUUCCACUGCACCACAACAGGAACUCCGCUCCACGUGGUUUUUUAAGGCUUGGAGUCAAAGUUAUUUUCUUGAACGACUAGGAAGAAUCCUGUGCCAAAUGGCCUGUCUCUAGUUUGUUCUAAUUCCUCAUCACGCAUUUGUAGCCCUAAGACCACUGACCUUUGCUGUGUCGUCAUGAUCACAUGUAAUGUCCAUCCUAACUUAUGAUUCAUGUUCUGUGGCUGGAAUCGGUUCCUGUAUUUAACAGUAAUACUUACACAUAAAACAAUCCACUCUUACAACCUAUGUGGUCACAAAACAUUAAUGGUCUUCUGUAGGCCAAGCAGAUGCUGUCAGCCGUAAUUGUCGUGUAUCAGAUCCACAGUGAGAAUCCCCAAGAUCAACAAAAUUUGCACAAUGCAAACAAUAACUUAAAAUACACACACACACGUGUACACACGCUCUCACAGCCACAUCUUACAGAGCUGUGCUUGGGGAAACUCCAUUUGUUGAGUGCCACAGGACAUACUUUGCUAAGCUGUUGCUCAUCAGAUAUUUUUGUUUGAAAAAUAUAUCACAGUAGAGCACCACUGUUUAUUGGAUGAGCAGAAAAGAAAGAUAUGCUUGCUUUUUCUUUUCUUUUUUUUUUUUUUUACUUUUUAGCUCUGAUUUGACCCCUAGCUUGGGAAACCUCCAUAUGCCACAUGUGUGGCUCUAAAAAGCAAAAGCAAAAAAAGAAAAAAAA
rnacentral:lncRNA from 1 species